rnacentral:tRNA from 1 species
CGAAAUGUGGCUAAGCUAGAAAAGCACCCCACUUACACCGAGGAGACGCCCGUGCAAAUCGAGCCAUUUCGA